UACGUAGGGGGGCAAGCGUUGUCCGGAAUCAUUGGGCGUAAAGAGCGCGUAGGCGGCCCUGUAAGUCCGCUGUGAAAGUCAAGGGCUCAACCCUUGGAUGCCGGUGGAUACUGCAGGGCUAGAGUCCGGAAGAGGCGAGUGGAAUUCCUGGUGUAGCGGUGAAAUGCGCAGAUAUCAGGAGGAACACCGGUGGCGAAGGCGGUUCUCUGGGCCUUACCUGACACUGAGGAGCGAAAGCGUGGGGAGCGAACAGG
rnacentral:rRNA from 1 species